GUUCUUGGUGCGCUGGACACCACGCUAGGAGGCUGUCGACGAGUUCAGGUCGUCGAGACGCUUCUGCUUUUGAACACUCUGUCUUGGGCCAGCGACGCACACGGAGCCGACACUUGUGACGUCUCUGUGGGCGUCCGCUGGAAGAUCACACAGUACGGUGCAACGGUACCGCUGAGUGUCUACUCCCGCGGACAGAGUGGGUUUCCCCCCAUUUCCCUUGCGCGUCACUUGAUUCGCUCUCCGGAGGCGUUCGGUUUACUUGCUGGACCUUUGGGGAGCUAUGUACACGCAAACCGUUACUCGUUGCGGUUUGGGCGAGUUCUGCUCCGCCGAGCUUGCUGGAUGAAAACGAGUCAGAAGCGAACCUACUCACGAGCGCACUCCGUGCCGUAGUUCUUGGAGUACAAGGCCGUUAGGCGCGCUUGCGGAAGACGUUUCGGUGCCUCUGGUUCCACACCUACAGACGCGAUAGGUGUGAAACAGAUGGCUCAGAAGCGAAAGCUCUGAGUGUCGUCGUCCGCGUCGGUGCCACAGGGCACCCGCUUUGACAUAGACCGCCAACGUCAGCCGGUUUUCAUUCUCCUCAAGGGGGGCUCAGAACCGGCUCGCAGGUGACUAUCUGCAGCUUCGUAGCCAGGAGUAGGACCCUUGUGGGCUCGCGGCCCCUGAGUGUCGUUUCACGACAGUUGUUUCCUGGCGUAGUGUCGUCGCACCUUUUUUUUAGCGAGGCUGCAUUGGAGCAGGCGUCUGUGUCUCAAGACAUGGGCUGCGCACGUCUUACCAACGUGCUCUCGCUCGCGGAUGGUUCAUAGAUCGAGCACGCUAACUAGACUGCUGCUUCACGUGUAUGUCGUAUUUAUCGUUGUCCUUGAAACGAGGCCAGCAGGCCUUGCAAUGCUGCAGCGUCCUCCAAUACAGCGUUUUCAGACUUCCCAUGCCGGAUCACCAUUGCCACCAGCGGAAGAUGCCUGCGACGCCUCUGCCAUCAACGAUUCCACCCGGGCUAUCCGUCCUCUUGAAUGGCUCCCGUUCUCCUCGUUGCCCCAGAUAUCCAUGGAUCCGUACGAUACGACUUCAUCACCUUCGUUGAAGCGGGCUCGCGGGCGCCAAAUACCAGGUGCGGCAUCCAGCGCUGCUAUCAGUGAAUCUUCUCUGCAGCCAAAUGCGGAUGCAUACCUCCAGAUCGAUCAAGUUCCCUUCGUUCGAGCCCCGAGGGGUGUAGAGAUGCCCCAAAAGACGUGGUCUAUACUGUCUCUUGCGUGCAGAUAGCCAAAGUGCCUCCAGUUGAGCGAUCACGACCGUGCUUCGUCCUCUGCAGUUAACGAGCAUAACUGCCUCGUUCAGAAGCAACGGUUGGCCCAUCCGGCGUCACCAAAACAGGUGGCGCGACCCAGACCCAAAUCCGCAACCCAUAACGUAUCGUUGAGGAUUAUCGACCCAGAACGCUUAGGAGUCUAGCUCGCCGUGCUGCAUUGAGAAGAGAAACUACACCAGACGUUUUCGGAGCCAGAAUCGGUACCACCGAACACGGCGCCGGUGCUGAUGCGGUGCCGUCUGCGGCUCGCCGAGCAUCAGCAACACGAUCUUCAGACAGUUUUGGUUCCGUGUCCGAGCAGUGCGCUCGAUGCGGGCCACAUGGAGGCCAGCCGCCAACUCGGGGAGAACGAGAGUUGCCACUAUCGCUCAACUGGGAAACGAUGCACCUCGUGGAUACUACAGGAAUGUUCUCGUUAACGGCAGUAGCAGGAGUUGCCACUUGCUUCUGGCUGGUUCCCUAAGACGCCGGCAGCGGUCCCCUGAACACGCAACUCUACCCCAGACCUGGCCUUUGUGCACUGUGAUUUAACGUAUCUGAACCAUGCACGACGUUCAGGAUACAUGUAAAAAGUGUG
rnacentral:misc_RNA from 1 species